UACGGGGGGAGCAAGGCGUUGUUCGGAUUUACUGGGCGUAAAGGGCGCGUAGGCGGUCAGCACAAGUCAGUUGUGAAAUCUCCGGGCUUAACUCGGAAAGGUCAACUGAUACUGUGCGACUAGAGUGCAGAAGGGGCAACUGGAAUUCUCGGUGUAGCGGUGAAAUGCGUAGAUAUCGAGAGGAACACCUGCGGCGAAGGCGGGUUGCUGGGCUGACACUGACGCUGAUGCGCGAAAGCCAGGGGAGCGAACGGG
rnacentral:rRNA from 1 species